rnacentral:rRNA from 1 species
GGGUCAGUAGGUUGGUCGUGCCACAGGUACGUACUGGUCUCACUGAUUCCUCCUUCCUGAAGAACCGUAAUGCCAUUAAUUUGGUGUUGCGGGGAAACAGGACUGUUACUUUGAAAAAAUUAGAGUGUUUAAAGCAAGCUAACGCUUGAAUACAUUAGCAUGGAAUAAUGAAAUAGGACGAUCGAUCCUAUUUUGUUGUUUUCUAGGAUUGACGUA